rnacentral:rRNA from 2 species
ACCCUUUAAUGUUUGAUGUUCUAACGUGGACCCGUGAUCCGGGUUGCGGACAGUGUCUGGUGGGUAGUUUGACUGGGGCGGUCUCCUCCUAAAGAGUAACGGAGGAGCACGAAGGUUGGCUAAUCCUGGUCGGACAUCAGGAGGUUAGUGCAAUGGCAUAAGCCAGCUUGACUGCGAGCGUGACGGCGCGAGCAGGUGCGAAAGCAGGUCAUAGUGAUCCGGUGGUUCUGAAUGGAAGGGCCAUCGCUCAACGGAUAAAAGGUACUCCGGGGAUAACAGGCUGAUACCGCCCAAGAGUUCAUAUCGACGGCGGUGUUUGGCACCUCGAUGUCGGCUCAUCACAUCCUGGGGCUGAAGUAGGUCCCAAGGGUAUGGCUGUUCGCCAUUUAAAGUGGUACGCGAGCUGGGUUUAGAACGUCGUGAGACAGUUCGGUCCCUAUCUGCCGUGGGCGCUGGAGAACUGAGGGGGGCUGCUCCUAGUACGAGAGGACCGGAGUGGACGCAUCACUGGUGUUCGGGUUGUCAUGCCAAUGGCACUGCCCGGUAGCUAAAUGCGGAAGAGAUAAGUGCUGAAAGCAUCUAAGCACGAAACUUGCCCCGAGAUGAGUUCUCCCUGAGACUUAGAGUCUCCUGAAGGAACGUUGAAGACGACGACGUUGAUAGGCCGGGUGUGUAAGCGCAGCGAUGCGUUGAGCUAACCGGUACUAAUGAACCGUGAGGCUUAACCUU